CGGGUCAUGAAAUGAGGUCUUGUUAAUGAACUCGUUGGCCUUCACUAAUGGGUUGUCAUCGGGUUUGAUCCAUACUUGGAGAUGCGGAUUGGAGAGGUUGGCUGGUAUUGCAUAGUUUUAGACUUGUGUCUUGUUUUGAUCUAUGAUUCCAGUGUACAUUAUAAAAGGCUUGUUUCCUGGGAGGACUGUGGCUGAUCCAGACAAAGUACCAUACUGAUCAAAUGGUUUUGAUGGAAAAAUUUAACGCUCCACUUUUUUCCAAUUAAUUAAGUCUUUUGAUACAGAAUGAGCCAAAACAAUAUUGCCCCAAACAGAACCUUUGGGAUUGUAUUAGUAGAAGAGAUUAUAGAAUCCAUUGUAAUACAUUGGUCCAUUUGGAUCGUUGAUCAAGUUUCUUUGGGGUUGAAAAUGGUAGGCAGUUCUAUGCACUUGCUUUAUAUUGACACGAGAAACAGAUUGCAAGUGUAAAUACUACUUGUGUGAUGCUUCAACGAUGACAUUGUUGAAUGCCAAGAAACAAAACGAGUAAACAAAAAAAACCAGAAAAACUUAUAAUCUGGCAUAAUUAGAAAAACAAUAGAACUCAAAAGUUUUGCUAAGUUAUGAAGAGAGACUCUCUCUCUC
rnacentral:lncRNA from 1 species